rnacentral:lncRNA from 1 species
UCUCCAAUUUUCUCACAAACAACUUCAACGCCGGCAAAAAGUCACCAAUAUUCGUCGCCCCGCCAAUCCUGAAAGUCUCUUGCACCAGGCCUUUGAAUCUCGUAGCUUCUUCAAUGUCCUCCACGUUCUCUCCGUAAUAUCUAUAGAAAAAAUAAUUAAGUAAUAAAAGUAUAAUUUUUUAACAACUUAAAUCCGUCAAUGGAGUGAUAAUAUAUUUUAACAUAAUAUUACAUUCAUCGGCCUUGGGUUAUAGUCUCACCAUCAAACAUUUUUAAUUAGUGAAGAAUGCAAUAUAUUGUGUUAACAGGUACAACUGAAAGAUAUUAUUUAGAAUACUAAAUAUAUUGGUGUAAAUAUAACAAAAAUUUCAAACAAAUAUCUCUCUGAGAUUUAACUAAAAUCUUAUAAAAUAUUAAAAUUCAAAGGUUGAACAGAUCAAACUUAAGGACCUAUUUGGCCAUAAAAAAGAUUUAUUUUUUUCGGAAAAUUUUUCAUUUAUUUUUUAAUCAUUGUUUGGCUAUGAAAAUUUAGUUCAAGCUCAAUUUCAAAAUUAUUUGAAAACUUGAAAAACUUUUAAAAAAAAACUCAUUUUUCAAAAAAAUUCAAUUCAAUACAUUCAUAAAAAUUCAAAAGCAGGGUAUCUCUCCAAAAAUAAAUCUAAUUUUCAAAUAUUAUUGUCCCUCAGAAAUUUUUUUUCUUCACUUUUUACAGGAAUUUCACAAUUCUUAUGUCUAAACGACCAUUAUUAUGAAUCCGCAAUUAGUAAGCGUGUUGAAACUAUAAAUAAAAGUGUACUAUCUUUGGUAAUUAAACAUUACAAGAAUACCUUUUCCCAGCAAUUGUCCGCAUCAUAACAUUCAGCAUCAGCUCAAAGAACAUAGACUUCAUGUCCACAGAUUUUUCAGCCAUGGCAGAGGAAUUAAGCCUCUUCACCAUGGAUUUCACUUCAUCAAUACGAAUCCCGUG